GAGCAAUAGAAAAAAAAAAUGUUAAAAAAAAAAAAAAGAAAAAUCCCUGAAACUGGCACUCUCAGGAAAGGGCAAUGAAUUCUGCAGGAAGAGGAGGGAAGCAGGGGCUGCGCUCCCACUGCCUGGCUGCAGGGUCCCCCCAUCCCAGCACAUCUCACAGCCCGCUUGUCCAGCCAGCCCCGCAGUAGGAAAGGCAGGUUGGAUGCUGCAGGGCUGAGGCUGCAUUGUGGCACCAAGUGCCCAGAGGAGGGGAGAGGUAAACCCCUGGCUUCACCAGCCCUUAGCAAGGAGUUGGAUCAGGCCCUACAGGGCCCUUGGUAAUGCAGCAUGAUAUCCGGAUCAGCUCAGCAGCCCUCAGCAGAAUGAAAUCUCUGCAUUCAGCAGCAUUUCAAGGAUCUUGGGCUCAGUCCUAUUCAUCAGGGGGAGCAGACUCCAGGGAAGCACGUUCUUCACUCGUCCGGUGACUAACAGUUGAUCUUCCAAAGAAUGAGCCAGAUGGUUCCCAUGAGAAGUGAUCAGCUCUCCUGGAGUCUAUGAACCAGAAAAAGAUAGAGUCUGGGUGCCUCUUGCCAGGACCUGUCUGAAGCUGAGAUGAUGAGUGCAGGUGCACCAGGAGCUGGUGCCUGGGGGAUUCCCUCCACCUUGGCUCAUCAGCCCCACGAACUGAAGGGACAGCUUCCCCCAGCUUAAGGGCAUCACAGAGCAUAAGGAUGCACGUCUCCUUUGAGGAUACACACGGAGUCUCUCCAGAGCACAGCUCUGAGCUGUAGCUCAGGAAAGGGAACGAGAUCUGCUGUGCUGACUCAGCCUCGGCUGCACAGGAAUAAACAGUCAGAAAGGAACCAUUAACUCAAUAAGACUGAAACGUAUGUGACAAUGCAUAUGUCAGACACUCAUCUCCUCGCCGUAAAUAAUAUACAGAUACAUUUCAGCAUACAGUUCAUUGUCUCUGACCAACGUCUUACUUCACAGGGGAGUUUACAACUUUAUUUGAGGUCUUUACAGAGUGGAUGUCAACUUAAAUCUAGAGAAAGUGGACAGAGAAAAUGGAGAAAGCAUGAGAUUUAAAGCAAGCCAGCAUUCUGUCCUUGUAUUCCUGGGAAAUUUUGUGCACUCACUGUGCCCUGUGAUUGGUGUGGCUUCCAUAGUGCUAUUCACUGAAAAGAGAGGCCUUCAGGAAAAAAAAUGCAAACUUCCUUUUUGCAUUUUCAGUAUAAGCAAGUUCCAUUUCCUGAUGAUACCUGGAUUUGUUUUAAUAUGAGGUUUCCAUAAAUCAGCUGCACACAGAAUAUGUUACACAGUCUGUAAGUGAGGAGGGGAUGCAGCAGCAGGGGUCGGGCUCUGCUCAUCACCAGUGACAGACCACAUGGGAAUGGCACAAAGCUGCACCAGUGGAGGGUCAGAAUGGACAUCAAGAACAAUUUCUUCACCAUGAGGGUGGACAGACACUGAAACAGGAUUCUGAGAAAUGCCUCAUGGCUGCCAGUGUCAAGAGGCAUUUGGACAAUGCUCGCAUUAAUUAAGAGGUCAGGCAACUGGAUUCAAUAAUAUUUGAAGGUCCUAUCCAACUAAACUAUUUUAUUAUUCUAUUCUAUUUCACUCUAUUAUUCUACUGUCCCAUUCCAUUCUAUGUCUGACAGAGAGGCAGAAAUUGGAGAUAACCAGCCAACUAUCCAUUUCCUAAAGCGCAGCAUCAGGGCUGAGGUGACACAUGGGUUGUUGGUCCCACUGCUCAACAUUCAAACAGAGGAGGAAUUUGAUGACUGAGACUGAGCUCCAUUUUGCAGAGUGCAGGAAAACAAGAAGUCACAGAGAAUUAUAGAAUAAUAGAACUGUUUGAUUUAGAAGGGACCCUUAGAGGCCAUCUAGUCCAACUUCCCUGCAGUGAGCAGGGACACCUACAGCUAGAUCAGG